UACGGAGGGUGCAAGCGUUAUCCGGAUUCACUGGGUUUAAAGGGUGCGUAGGCGUAUUAGAAAGUCCGUUGUGAAAUCUCUGAGCUUAACUCGGAAAUUGCGGUGGAUACUAUUAGUCUUGAAUACUGUGGAGGUUAGCGGAAUAUGUCAUGUAGCGGUGAAAUGCAUAGAUAUGACAUAGAACACCAAUUGCGAAGGCAGCUGGCUACACAGAUAUUGACGCUGAGGCACGAAAGCGUGGGGAUCAAACAGG
rnacentral:rRNA from 1 species